GUGAUCCACCCACCUUGGCCUCUCAAAGUGCUGACUCUACAGGCAUGAGCCCCCUUGCCUGGCCUCCUUUGCUUUUUCAAGGCAGUAAAGUUAACUCUCACUAAAUGCAUCGUCACUGCGACAUGACUGCAUCCUCAUUCAUUGCGCCUUCGAAUUCUACUUCAGGAAUCACAGAUUCUCCAACCCAGAGGGAAAGCUAAACAUCAGUAGUCUCAUGCUUCCUAACCUGUGGGUUGCUAUCGUUUCGCGGGCCAUGAAGUCAAUGCAGUGGACCAUAAUGAGAAUUUCAUUUGAAAAUUAAAACAGAGCAGAAUGAAAUAGAAAAGAUCACAGAGCAUUGCACAUACAAAGUCUUGAAGCUGAAUUUCUGUCCUAGCACGCCCUGCAGGUGCAGAAGCAGGGAAAGGAGAAGGCACUUAGCCUGGUGAGGAACCUGCUGGGCAUAUGACCUGACCAGAACCCAAGGUGCCUGUGACUGGGGACCUAGGAGGAGGCUGUCACACCUCCUUCGUUCCUCUUAGAUCACCAUUUUUGCAAUCCGAGCAGACAGGCCCUGCGCCAGGCGGUGUGUCCACCACGUCACGUGGCUCCGUCUUUCUGAAGAUCCGGGGGGAUCCUGACAUGCAGAUCUCAGGAUGGGGAAAACUGUGUACUUUCAGCAGAUCCACUCAUUCUACCGACAUUUCCCAAACGCCUACUCUGUGUCAAGCACCCUGAGAGGGACAGAGUGGUGACUAUAGAGAAGACAGGCCCACAUUUACAGGCAGGCAAGGGGAGCACACGAGGAAGCCUCCGGAGUGGAGCCGGCGACUGACCCAGGGCGGAGAAGAGUCACAGAGGAAAGGGUUGGUGAGCAGAGCUGGGAAUGAAGAAUGAGACAGCACGCACACAGCUGGCCCCAGAAAUGGAGAAAUUUGGUUUCUCCAUGCUGUGGAACCGAAGAACUGGCAACAGGAGAGGAGUGUGUGAGACAGAAUAAGGGGCUGGGAUUUUAUCUAAGAGCCACAGGAAGCCGUUGAAACACUCUAAGCCAGAAGCGAUAGCAUCAGCCUGAUCAUCUUUCCUUCUUUCUUUCAUAGCUUGGAAACAGGAGCUGAAUUUGCAGCCCACUGCUGCAACUCUUGGGGGCCAUCAUUGUGCAGUUUGAAGAUGCAUUCACCCUGCCUUCAUCUUCUGAUAACUGACCACUCUGUCCUCAUUUAUUAACUCUCCUGGUACUGAAUGUAUCUCCACAAGUCCCGUCAAAUACUAAUAAAUAAACUAUAUUAGCACA